UUCUCUCUUUUUAGAACAUAUGGCUUUGACAACCUGUUGCCUGGAAGUGUGUAUACUGUUGAAGUGAGCAGUGUUAGCGGAGACAGGCGAAGCUUACCUGCUGCUGUAAAUGUUAACACACUUCCAGAACCUCCUGACGACCUCACUUUUAUUGAACAGGAAGUGAGCAGCAUGUAUGUGAUGUGGACACACCCACCGGGCAGCGUGGAUGGUUACAGGGUAGGGUGACUUUUCGUUUAUCCAAUCAGCAUCGAGAUCCACAUACUGUAGGGAUUUGGUCAUCGCAUAUGAUAGUGUAUUUUAACAUUUGAUUUUUGCUUGUUUGUUUACUUGAUUUAGCAAAUGAAUAGAAAUGGAUUGAAGCGGUUAUGUGGAAUGAGUUAUAGGAAUACUUUGUGUGUAUUGUAAGCAUGACUAGACUAGUAUCAGGGCCUUUGGACACCUGUUAAAACUUUCAUACUGACCGUCUCAGCUGAAAUGUAGCCUAGCAACACCCUCAUGUGCUCGGGUUUCUGCCUCUCUCAUAAUACAUGAGCACCAAUCCUUCAUUAUACCUUACAAACAGAAGGAAGGUAUUUGAGUGUUUGAUGUAAAGAUGCUUUUUGUGCAAUGCAAAGUCCCUCGGAAUAACCUGGGCUAAAGUGACUUUUCAAAGGGCAAUGGUAAUGAUCUUCCCACUUCCAAAAAAUAUACAGUAGUAAAAACUGAAAUAUUAUUACAAUUUAAAAUAACUAUUUCCUAUUUGAAUAUAUUUUAAAUAUAAUUUAUUUCUGUGAUGCAAAGCUGAAUUUCCAGCAUCCUUACUCCAGUCUUCAGUGUCACAUGAU
ensembl:lncRNA